AAAUGCGAUAAGUAAUGUGAAUUGCAGAAUUCAGUGAAUCAUCGAAUCUUUGAACGCACCUUGCGCUCCUUGGUAUUCCGAGGAGCAUGCCUGUUUGAGUGUCAUGAAAUCUUCAACCUGCAAGCUUUUGUGGUUUGUAGGCUUGGACUUGGAGGCUUG
rnacentral:rRNA from 1 species